AAGAUUCAAAGAAUCUGGAGGGAAGGUGAUUGGUCCGUUCACUGUGAAGAAGGGUUACUCAAAUCAACAGUACGAGUUGUUCCGUUACAUUUUCUCUACCGCCAAUGAUCCGAGGUAAUCUCAUGUGUCAUGAUUACUGUGUACGUAGUUGAUAUUAGUACAUUCGUUUCGUUGUUGAUUAUUUGUUUGGUAUUUCAGUGAAGUGUUAGCCCAUUUUGGGAAGGUUGAGGUCGAGCGGAUGUAUUUCAAAUGCAUGAAACCGGAGACCGAUAUAUCACACAGUCUCAUUGAUUGCUUUGCUCAAAUCAUGAAUUUUCGAGAGAAGAAGCGCAACGGCAUUGGAAGUAAGAGAACUUGGUUUAUGCCCACCAGAAUUUCGAGCAAGUUACUUGGAAGAUCGAUGA